GAAAGCAGCGCACCCAAGAGGCAAUCCAGCCGUCUCUGGGCCAGAGGGGGCUCUCCAACCAAGCCAAGAACCCUCCGCCCUCCGUCAGCGGUCCAACUCCAAGCACGGGGCACCUCGCUCGACCAGGCAGGAAGAGCCUUCCACCCGGGGUGGCGGAACGACGUCCCCUCCCUGGCGUGGGGCAAAGGGCCCCGCGGGCUCAGAGGCUCCGUGUACCCACGCAGAGGGCUCCGGCCACCUCCCCGCGGGUCGGUGGAUGCCUCUGCCAUCGUCUUGGUCUUGGGAGGCUGGAGACGGGGCCAGGGAGCUGCAGAGGGGCUCGGCGGGCGCGCUGGCGCCGUCUGGCGGACAGAGGCUCUCACUGCAGCUCCCAGCCCCUUCCCUGCCUCUCACCUCGGAAUCCAGGUCUGCGCCGGCCCCGGCCCCGGGCUGGGGUCUGGAGGAUUGCCUUCCUCCUCUCCGCCUUGGCGCCCCGAAGGGCACGCCACGCGCGACACUGGACUCCCUCCACGUCGUCCAGGGCACUCACCCCUCCCGAACACCCUCCAGCUCCAAGAACCCAGAGACCCUGCUGGCGAAGGCCAGGGAGCCAGUGAGCCGCCUCGCAAUCCAUCAGCGCCCUUCAGCCUGGGCCCCAGCUUGGAAGGAAGGCCCUCCCAGGCCUUGCCCACGUGGCCUGGAUGGAGGGAGUCUCCUGGGCGCGGGGGUCCCACGGAGGAGGAAGCGGCUCGGGGGGCGAGGGCAGGAGGAGGAUGCGGCGCUCUGAGGGCAGGAGGAAGAGCACGGCCACGGGCUCAGGCGGCCCCACCAGCUCCCACCCCUCUCGACGAAGACACACGGCCUCCCCCACCAGAGGCCUUCCCGGCCAGACGCAGAGCCCGCCUGCGUCCCGGGUUGGGCCUCCAAGCAAGCCAAGGGCACUCAGGCCCCAGACGGCCCCUCGGGCGCUCCAGUCCUCGGCUCACCCACCGGACCACGAGGCAUCGAACCCCAGAUGGGAUGCCGGAACCCUGCCCCAUCUCAGAGCUGAGGCUGAGCCACCCGGGCCCACAGGCUCCGAGGCACCACGGACCCAAAGGCGAGUCCCUGGGAACCUCCUUGGCCUUCGCCCAGACCAACUGCCACCAUGACCUGAACCCAGAGAGGUGGCCCGGGAGCGAGGGGCAGAGGGGCCUGCGGGGGCUCUGGCGCCGCCUGGUGGACACGCGCUCGAACAGCACGUCUCGGCCCUUCCUCUGCUUCCCACCAGGGGUGCCUGCUCUGCCCUGGCCCGGGGCCCUUGCCAGCAGGAGGGUCUUCCUCCUCCCCCUCGCAGCAGCAGGACAUCCACGACGGGCGGGGCAGGGACCCUCUCGUUGUCGGCCAGGAACCUCACCCCACACACCCCCGGACAGCAGCCACCCCAUUCGUGAGGUCGUGAGGGCAGCCCGGCCCCCCUGGGACUCAGCGGGAGACUACGGGCAACCCCUUCGCGGAGCCUCCCCUUCCCUCGGAAGCCCCCCUUCCAGAAGCCAAGCACCACGCCGGGCUGAGUCUCCACACCUGCACGUCCCAGGGGCAAGCCUGCUGCUGCUGGCUCGAGAGGUCGGCUGCCCACCGAGCCAAGGACACGCCCUCAGAACGCAGCCAGCCUGCCACCCCCUCCCAUCUUCGGGCCACCCGACCCCAUCCAACGGAAUGCCGCUUGGGAUGGCAGAACCCCGCCUCCCCUCUGAGUCGAGGCGCAUCGGGCCAUGGGGUCCGAGGGACCAUGCCUCGAGGGCAAGGGCCUGGGAACCUCCUUGGGCGUCCCCCCACCCAUCUCCGAGCCGGUGCCUGAGCCAGAGGACGCCCCGGGCAGCUGCGUGCGCAGGGGGCUCUGCUCGUGCUCUGGCGCCGUCUGGCGGACACAGGCUCCAACUGCAACGCGCCUGGCCCUUGGCCUGCCUCUCCCAGCCGCACCCCGGGGUCUGCGCUGGCCCGAGAC
rnacentral:lncRNA from 9 species